AUGGCGGCGGCCAUGGAGAUCGAGGUCUCGGCGGACGACGUCGCGUACGAGGAGGACGUCCUGCGCGAUCCCUUCAGGCUGUCCGGCUGGCUGCGCUACCUGUCGGCUCGUCGCGCGGCGCCGCCGGCGAAGCGCGCGGCCAUCUACGAGCGGGCGCUGCGCGCCCUCCCCGGGUCGUACAAGCUGUGGCACGCCUACCUCACGGAGCUCGGCGACGCCGCGCGCGCGCUGCCCGUCACCCACGCCGCUCACGCCGGCCUCGACGCCGCCUUCGAGCGCGCGCUCGCCGCUGGCAUGUCCCGGAUGCCGCGCGUCUGGCACAUGUACGCCUCCUCGCUCCUCCACCAACGCCUCCUCACACGCGCCCGCCACGUGCUCGACCGCGCGCUGCGCUCGCUGCCCGUCACGCAGCACCACCACGUGUGGCCGCUUCACCUCCGCCUCGCCUCCCUGCCCGACUGCCCGGCCCCGACCGCGGUCCGUGUGCAUGGCCGCCACCUCCAGUUCGAUCCUGACCACGAGGAGGAUUUCAUCGCCUUCCUCGUCUCUGCCGGCAGAUGGCGGGACGCGGCCCAACACCUCGCCGCGGCCAUCGACGACGAAGGAUUCGUGUCCGUCAAGGGCACAACGAAGCGCCAGCUACUGCUUGACCUGUGUGGCCUGCUCGCCCAGCACCCGGAGGACGUCGCCGGGAUGCCGGUGGACGGAAUCCUCCGCGGCAGCAUCCGGAAGUUCCCCGAGGAGGCCGGCGUGCUGUGGACAAGCCUGGCCAGCCACUACGCGCGGAGAGGCCUCCACGGCAAGGCGAGGGACGUCUUCGAGGAGGCCAUGACCACGGCGACCACCGUCAAGGACUUCCGGAUGGUGUUCGACGCAUACUUGCACUUCGAGCACGCCAUGGCCGCCGCGGAGCUCGAGCUCUGCCAAGCGGACGCCGUCGACGUCCAGGACUGCUGGCUCGCCGACAGGGACAGCACGGACUUGGCGAUGGCGAGGCUGGAGCGGCUGCUCGAACGCCGGCCGGAGCUGCUCAACAGCGUCCUGCUGAGGCAGAACCCGCACGACGUCCAGGCGUGGCACGAACGGGCCAAGAUCUUCCACAAGGAUCCCGCGAGACACGCCGCGACCUACGCGGAGGCCGUCAGGACUGUCGAUCCAGCGAAGGCGACGGGGAAGCCGCCGCACACGCUCUGGCUGGCGCUGGCCAAGAUGUACGAGGACCGCGGCAGCGUCGGCUGCGCCCGAGACGUCCUCCACAGAGCCACGCAGGCAAACUUCACGGCGGCGGAGCACCUCGCCGCGGUUUACUGCGAGUGGGCCCACAUGGAACUGAGGCACCAGGAUCCCGAGCGGGCCAUCGACCUCAUCCGGCGAGCGACCACGCCACCGUCUAUCGAGCCCACGACGCACGCCGCUGCUGCCGGCGGCGAGGACGUUCGGGUGAAACUGCACCGGUGUCUCAAGCUGUGGCUCGUGUACCUGAACCUGAUGACAACACACGGGUCGCUCGAGUCCACCUGCGCUGUCUACGACAAGAUGCACGACCUCGGCGUCGUCACGCCAUUGCUGGUGCUGGACCACGCGACCCUACUCGAGCAGCACGGGCGGUUCGAGGACGCGUUCCGUGUGUACGAGCGGGGCGUCAGGUCCUUCAAGCACCCGCACGCCGACGCCAUAUGGGAGGCGUACCUGACCAAGUUCGUCCAGAGGCACGGGAAGAGCAGGCCGGAGAGGGUGCGGGACCUGUUCCAGGCGGCCGCCGUGUACCUGAGAUACGCGAGGUUCGGGGAGGACUUCGGCCUCGCCAGCCGCGCCAUGAAGGUGUACGUGGACGCUGCGAGCGCCGUCCCCGCCAGCGACAGGCUCGGCGUCUACGAGGUGUACGUCGCGCGGGCUACCGAGCUCUACGGCCUUCUGAAGGCGAGGGACGUGUACCAGCAGGCGAUCGUCGGCGGCGGGCUGCCCGACGAGGGCGCGAGGGCGAUGUGCGUCGGGUUCGCCGACCUCGAGAUCGUGCUCGGCGAAGUCGCGCGCGCUCGGGCGUUGUACGCAUACGCGGCGGCCUUCACGGAUCCCAAGGUUUACCCUGAGUUCUGGAAACGGCGGAACGACUUUGAGGUGCUACACGGCGACGAGGGUACGUUCAGGGAGAUGCUCCGCAUGAAGAGGACCAUGGCGGCCGUUGCCAGAGACGGAGCAGGGGCGCGGGUUGGUGUCAUCGUUGUUCUGGCGAGGCUCAAUGUCCCAGCCCCGAGAGUCAUGAACCCCCGAGAGUCCGGUAAUGAGGAUGUUGGAACCGAUGGGGUUCCGCCAAAUUAG
rnacentral:rRNA from 1 species